rnacentral:rRNA from 4 species
GAGAUUCCCCCAGUAGCGGCGAGCGAACGGGGAGGAGCCCAGAGCCUGAAUCAGCAUGUGUGUUAGUGGAAGCGUCUGGAAAGGCGCGCGAUACAGGGUGACAGCCCCGUACACAAAAGCGCAUGUGUUGUGAGCUCGAUGAGUAGGGCGGGACACGUGGUAUCCUGUCUGAAUAUGGGGGGACCAUCCUCCAAGGCUAAAUACUCCUGACUGACCGAUAGUGAACCAGUACCGUGAGGGAAAGGCGAAAAGAAC